AAUUGAUAUGGACAAAUGAAAUAAAAUACACAUGGGAUUUUAAAUGUUUUCAUUUUUUUAUUAUUCACGACGUUUGUGAAGUUUAAAUGUAUACUGUCUCAAACUGAAUGUGUUAUUUUUGUUGUAGGUGUGUUGGUGUAAAAAUUGAUGCUGACUGAACUCAGGCAGUUGUGCUGGACCUUCUGUACUUUAUACAGGAGAUGACAGUAAACUUUCAAGUUUAAGAGAACUCAGGCAGUUGUGCUGGACCAUCUGUACUUCAUACAGGGGAUGACAGUAAACUGCAAAGUUUAAGAGCCACCUGAUGAUGAGAAAGACAUUUUCAAUGUAGGCAUCUUGAUGAAGAAGAGUCCACAGCCACAAUAACAAGAUCAUUGAGCUGUCCCCUAAUUGUGGUCAGCUACAUGUUUAGUCUCUUAUGUGCUAAACAUUAUGUAGCCUAAGGAAGCAGCCCUGACUCUGUAGUUUAUAUGAAGGAGCAUGCUGAGUAACUAUCCAGAAAGUAGGUCCAAAGCAGAAAAAAGGGCACCAAGCAGAAACAUACCAUCUAAACUCCUUCGAUUCCUGUCAGACCAGAAAGACUUUCAAAAUCCUUGGAAGAUUUAAAGGUAAUUAAGCACACCGGUAACACUUUA